GCCCCCAGUGGCACAAUGGGUCAGUGUGUCUUGCUGUUAACCACCAGAAGGUUGGUGGUCCGAGCCCAUCCAGGGACA